rnacentral:rRNA from 1 species
AAACCAUUCUACCCCCUUAGUAUAGGCGACAGAAAAGGAAAUUGUGGAGCUAUAGUUCAAGUACCGCAAGGGAAAGCUGAAAGAGAGGUGAAACAGUCCAGUAAAGCUCAAAAAAGCAGAGAUUUAACCUCGUACCUUUUGCAUCAUGAUUUAGCUAGCAUCUUCAGGCAAGGAGCGCUUUAGUCUGAGACCCCGAAACUAAGUGAGCUACUCCAAGACAGCCUAUAAAUUAGGGCAAACCCGUCUCUGUGGCAAAAGAGUGGGAAGAGCUUCGAGUAGAGGUGAUAAACCUACCGAACUUAGUUAUAGCUGGUUGCCUGGGAAAUGGAUAGGAGUUCAGCCUCCCGGAUUCUCAUUUCACCUUUUGUUUACAUACCUUCGGAAGCCUAGAGAAACCAAGAGAGUUAUUCAAAGGGGGUACAGCCCCUUUGAAACAGGACACAACCUUUGAAGCUGGGUAAAGAUCAUAUUAUUUAAGGAGAAAACUGUGUUAGUUGGCCUAAAAGCAGCCACCUCAAAAGAAAGCGUUAAAGCUUAUACGUGUAUUUUGCCCUACGAUUCUGAUCAUUUAAUCUCACCCCCCUUUGAUUUACCAAGCCACCCUAUGCUAACAUAGAGGAGACCAUGCUAAUAUGAGUAAUAAGAGAACCCCUGUUUCUCUCUCUAGCACACGCAUAGCUCGGAACGGACCCCCCCACCGAAUAUUAACGGCCCCAAAUAAAGAGGGUACUGAAGAAGGACCUGAAGACCAGAAAACCUUUCAAUAAACUACCGUUAACCCUACACUGGUGUGCCCCCUGAGAAAGACUAAUAGAAAGAGAAGGAACUCGGCAAAAAUACCUUACAAGCCUCGCCUGUUUACCAAAAACAUCGCCUCUUGCAAAACUGAAGUAUAAGAGGUCCCGCCUGCCCAGUGACACCCAGUUCAACGGCCGCGGUAUUUUGACCGUGCAAAGGUAGCGUAAUCACUUGUCUCUUAAAUGGAGACCUGUAUGAAUGGCAUAACGAGGGCUUAACUGUCUCCUCUCUCAAGUCAAUGAAGUUGAUCUCCCCGUGCAGAAGCGGGGAUAUUCACAUAAGACGAGAAGACCCUAUGGAGCUUGAGACGAUAGGGCAGCCCAUGUUAAGUACCCCCCUCACCGGACCAAACUAAAUGACCCCUGCUCUAAUGUCUUCGGUUGGGGCGACCCUGGGGAAUACAAAACCCCCAUGUGGAAUAGGAGCACCCCCCCCCUUAACUCCUCCAAAUGAGAGCCACACCUCCAAUUAACAGAACUUUUGACCAAAAAUGAUCCGGCAAAGCCGAUCAACGGACCAAGUUACCCUAGGGAUAACAGCGCAAU